GACGAACGCUGGCGGCGUGCUUAACACAUGCAAGUCGAACGAUGAAGCCGGAGCUUGCUCUGGUGAAUUAGUGGCGAACGGGUGAGUAACACGUGAGUAGCCUGCCCUUGACUCUGGGAUAACUGCGGGAAACUGUAGCUAAUACCGGAUACGACCCUCGGAGGCAUCUCCUGGGGGUGGAAAGAAUUUCGGUCAAGGAUGGACUCGCGGCCUAUCAGCUAGUUGGUGAGGUAAAGGCUCACCAAGGCGACGACGGGUAGCCGGCCUGAGAGGGUGACCGGCCACACUGGGACUGAGACACGGCCCAGACUCCUACGGGAGGCAGCAGUGGGGAAUAUUGCACAAUGGGCGCAAGCCUGAUGCAGCAACGCCGCGUGAGGGAUGACGGCCUUCGGGUUGUAAACCUCUUUUAGCAGGGAAGAAGCGAGAGUGACGGUACCUGCAGAAAAAGCACCGGCUAACUACGUGCCAGCCGCCGCUGUAA
rnacentral:rRNA from 1 species